UUCACUCAAAGCCUCUGGGUCCCGGCCACUCACUGGUUCUGGCUCCAAAAUAACUCAGCAGAAACGAGUUUCCAACUAAAAAUCCCCUCGAAUGUCUCCCAGGGAAGAAAUAUAGCUCCUAUAAUUAAAGGAGGAAACGGCCAGAGGGGGAAUGCAGCCGGCAGCCAAACAAAAAAAUUCAAUUUUGAAGAAUUUUCAGCUAGAGGAACCCAAGACUUUCUGUAUCAACAAUUGCUGGAGUGGUGGUUGGUAAGGGAGGGCGUUAGAGGGGGUGUAACCAGGCAAACCUUUGCAGAGAACAGCAGCAAAGGUGUGGUGUGGUGAUCUCAGGUAGUGCUGAAGACAAGAGGAGGUUGAAGUUUUUAGGUUAUAAGAUCAAGAAAAUGUCUUUCAUCUGUAAUUUAAUUAAAAACUUGGGAGAAAUGUAUUUUCUUUUCACUUGGAAUAAAAGGAAC
rnacentral:lncRNA from 1 species